rnacentral:rRNA from 1 species
AUUGAACGCUGGCGGCAGGCCUAACACAUGCAAGUCGAACGAGUGGCGGACGUGUGAGUAACGUCUGGGAAACUGCCUGAUGGAGGGGGAUAACUACUGGAAACGGUAGCUAAUAUCGCAUACUAUCGGAUGAACCCAUAUGGGAUUAGCUAGUGGGUGGGGUAAAGGCUCACCUAGGCGACGAUCUCUAGCUGGUCUGCGAGGGUGAUCAGCCACACUGGGACUGAGAGACGGCCCAGACUCCUACGGGAGGCAGCAGUAGGGAAUAUUGCCCAAUGGGCGAAAGCCUGAUGCAGCCAUGCCGCGUGAAUGAAGAAGGCCUUAGGAUUGUAAAGUACUUUCAGCGGAGAGGCGUUACCCAAAGAGGAAGCACCGGCUAACUACGUGCCAGCAGCCGCGGUAAUUC